CAGAGAGAAACAGAGUGCAAGUGGGAGAGGGACAGAGAAAGAGGGAGACACAGAAUCCGAAGCAGGCUCCAGGCUCCAAGCUGUCAGCAAAGAGCCCAACAUGGGGCUUGAACCCACGAACUGUGAGAUCAUGACCUGAGCCAAAGUCGGAUGCUUAAUCGACCAAGCCACCCAGGAAUUGGUUCAUGUGAUCAUGGAGGCCAACAAGUCCCACAAUUAGUCAUCUGCAAGCUGGAGAACCCGGCCAGUGGUGCAAUUCAAUCUGAGUCCAAAGGCCUGAGAACCAGGAUAUUCAAUGGCUGUACUGGCUUAAGCCAGGAGAGCAAAUUUGCCCAUCUGCAUUUUUGUUCUAUUCAGGCCUUCAAUGGAUUGGAUGGUGUCUACCUUCAUUUGUGAAGGCUCAGAAGCCUCAGGACCUGUGUGCAGGACCUCAGUGCCCAGGCGAUGUCUAUCUACCUUAGCUCCUGUCAAGAAAGCUAAGCUUAAGAGGUUGGCUGGGAAAAUGGCAGAGUAGAAGGACCAUAAGCUUGCCUUGUCCCACAGAUACAACUAGAUAACACUCUCAUCAGCAUAAAUCACUCAGAAAAAUGAUCCGAAGACUGGCAGAACAAACUCCAAAAUCAAAAUUAGGCCACAUCAAAGAAGGUAAGAAGGGCAAAGAUGCAGUGUGGGAGUGAAAUGGAUCAUGACCAUACACUGUGGGGAGGGAGCUGGUGGCACAGAGAAGGGCAAAAGACAGACGUUCACACUGAAGAGCCCAUGAGCAGGGAGGACAUUUGCCUUUGAAAGCAAGAGGGGCUGAAUUUCAUGAGUUUUUAUAACCAGCAGGACUUAAAGCUUGGAAUCUUAAAAAUUGGUGGGCUUGGCUCUGGGAGAUCCCAGAGGGUUUUAGGAAAUAGAAUCCCUAUCCUUAAAGAGACAGCAUGACAAACAGCCUGUGCAGAUACGCUGUAGGACCAGGACUUGGGAAAAUGCUGGGAGAAGAUGAGAGGGAGAGUGUUUGCUCAUCUCAGAGCAUGACCUGGAGAGACCCCUCCAGGAACAAAGGAGCUAGCAGCAUCAUUUCCCUCCCCUGCUGCUCAGCACAAACACACAGCCACCCACAGGAACCGGCAGGGCUGGGACACUCACUACCUAACUUGCUUACGUCAAGCAGUGCUUGCUUCAGCAGAUCUGCCCUUCCCAGUCAUGCCUGCCUCAGUCUUGGUGCUGUGGGCCCUUCUCAUGCAAACCCUGCCAGUACCACAUCUAACCUGUGUGUAUUGCGGGACCUUAAUUCUGGCAGCGGCAGGGGCAGGUCUCAUUUUGUAAGCAGACCACCACACACCUUGCUAAAAUGCACCCCACGCCUGCUGGGGACCAAUAGACAAAGAGAGCCUCUGUAAACAAUGGUACUGAAGGAAAAAGAGGCAAAACUCGAAAGCAGAGCCCAUGCAACACACAUAGGAGACACUUCCUGAAGCCCCAGGCCCUGAGGAACAUGGGACACUGCAUUGCGGGGCACUACAGGACUUCUUUAUAAGGCUGUUAUUGUUAAGAGCAAGAGAAGUGGCUGACUUUCCUAACACACAGAAACAGACACAGAAAGGUAGACAAAAUGAGACAGAGAAAUAUGUCCCAAAUGAAAGAAUAGGAGCAAACCACAGCGAGAGACCUAAGCGAAAUGGACAUAAGUAAUAUGCCCCAUAAGAGAAUUUAAAAUAAUGGUUAUAAAGAUACUCGACUGGAGAAGAGUGGAAGACAUCUGUGAGACCCUUAACACAGAUAUAAAAAAGAACCAAUCAGAGAUCAAGAACACAAUAAAUGACAUUUAAAAUACA